CACCACCAGUGCUGUGAUCUCCUGGGCCCCUCUUGGGAGUGUGAGUGCUCGGAGGGGCUGCAGUCUGAGCUACUACAGCAUUGUGAGCCCCGGCACUGUCCACACUGUCAGCCUCGUCCCAGUCAGUACAGAGGCAGUGAUCACAGGAUUGAAACCAGAUACUACUUAUACCAUGUCCAUUGUGUGUGACUCUCAAACUCCCUGGACACUCCACUCCCAGUCUCUUGAUGUCACUACUCUCCCAAUUUCGAGAUUCCUCAGCAACAUACAGGCUUCCCAUAUAACCUCAUCGACUGCGGUGAUUGGCUGGGAUCUACACCCAUCCAAGUCUGCCCUGGUUGGGUCCUACUCC